UCCCGGCUAGCUCAGUUGGUAGAGCAUGGCAUUCUUGAUCUUUGAAGAUUGUAGGUUUGAAUCCCUCCCUGGGCA